UUCGGAAAAGGCAAGAUUCGCUUUACAAUGGGGCUCUAUCUUGCUGGGGUUUUGCUUCCGCUUGGGUCAUGACUAUCUCAAGGGCCUCAAACAAACCAGCAGGCGAUGGAGUUUAGUUCUGUCAUUAAUUCAUGUUACAUACGAAGAAACCGAUAAUUCCACUAUCUAGCUGUGACCUUGGGCGGAUUAAUCUCUCAGGUCUGAGUUUUCUCAUCUGGAAACUGGAAUAAUGUUGCUCUAACUAGGUUUAGGUGAUGACCAAAUGAGAUAACUAUGCAAGGAGCCUGACAUACAGUAAACACACUGCAAAUGGCGGUUGCUGGAAUCCCAAAACGGAGUCAGUGGUCACCAUAAAGUGAGUCCCUAUAGCACAGACCUCCUCGGCCUGAGACCCCAGAGAGUCACCUGGCUCCUCUUGUGACAACCACUUUUAAUCCCCCAAAUAGCAACUGUGCUGUGAAUCCCAGUCAUAAGCUCAGGUCUCCCAAGUCUUCCGCUUCAGGUCCCGUUUUGCUUUAUUGCAGCCCUACGGUGAGGUGAGGGUUUUUUCCCCACAUCACACCGCUCUGUGUGAUGAAUAAGGAAACGGAGGUACUCCAAAGUGAGUGGCCCUCCCGUCAGAGGGGAGGAAAUCAGACCCUUUUGCCUGUAGCUUCAGGCUGCCUUAGGCUGCUGCACCUUUGAGCUCUGUUCCUCCAACAUCUCACCAUGGACUAAAGGAUGGCAGAGGGAGACAACCCCGGAGCAGCAGCUCUCACUGCUUCCAAGGACUCCAUGUUUCCAGGGCUGUCUUAAAGAUGUCAGGAAAAAAGGAAGAACCAGACACCCUGCCACCCUUAAGAUGUGAACUUGUUCGGAAAAUGUAUUCGCCCAUCGCUACCUCCUCACCCUCUGUGGGAAUGGUGUGAAGCUGUCAGACCCAACAACUGGCAAAGAAAGCCAUCUCUGCAAGGGCAGCCU
rnacentral:lncRNA from 9 species